rnacentral:rRNA from 1 species
UACGUAGGGUGCGAGCGUUGUCCGGAAUUAUUGGGCGUAAAGGGCUCGUAGGCGGUUUGUCGCGUCGGGAGUGAAAUCCACUGGCUUAACUGGUGGCUUGCUUUCGAUACGGGCAGACUGGAGGUAUGCAGGGGAGAACGGAAUUCCUGGUGUAGCGGUGAAAUGCGCAGAUAUCAGGAGGAACACCGGUGGCGAAGGCGGCAUCCUGGACCAAUUCUGACGCUGAGUGAGCGAAAGCCAGGGGAGCAAACGGG